AAGUAAGUGGCGAACGGGUGAGUAACACGUGAAUAACCUACCUCAAAGUCUGGGAUAACCAUUGGAAACAGUGACUAAUACCGGAUAAAACCCAAGUGCACAUGCACUAAGGUUAAAAGCUGCGUUUGCAGCGCUUUAAGAUGGAUUCGCGGUGCAUUAGUUAGUUGGUGAGGUAAAGGCUCACCAAGACGAUGAUGCAUAGCCGAGUUGAGAGACUGACCGGCCACAUUGGGACUGAGACACGGCCCAAACUCCUACGGGAGGCUGCAGUAGGGAAUCUUCCACAAUGGGCGCAAGCCUGAUGGAGCAACGCCGCGUGUGUGAUGAAGGCUUUCGGGUCGUAAAGCACUGUUGUAUGGGAAGAACGGGUUUAAGAGGAAAUGCUUAGACAGUGACGGUACCAUACCAGAAAGGGACGGCUAAAUACGUGCCAGCAGCCGCGGUAAUACGUAUGUCCCGAGCGUUAUCCGGAUUUAUUGGGCGUAAAGCGAGCGCAGACGGUUGCUUAAGUCUGAAGUGAAAGCCCACAGCUCAACUGUGGAAUGGCUUUGGAAACUGGGCAACUUGAGUACAGUAGAGGUAAGUGGAACUCCAUGUGUAGCGGUGGAAUGCGUAGAUAUAUGGAAGAACACCAGUGGCGAAGGCGGCUUACUGGACUGCAACUGACGUUGAGGCUCGAAAGUGUGGGUAGCAAACAGGAUUAGAUACCCUGGUAGUCCACACCGUAAACGAUGGAUACUAGUUGUUAGAGGGUUUCCGCCCUUUAGUGACGAAGCAAACGCAUUAAGUAUCCCGCCUGGGGAGUACGACCGCAAGGUUGAAACUCAAAGGAAUUGACGGGGACCCGCACAAGCGGUGGAAGCAUGUGGUUUAAUUCGAAGCAACGCGAAGAACCUUACCAGGUCUUGACAUCCUUUGAAGGUACUAGAGAUAGUACUGUCUUCUUCGGAAGCAAAGUGACAGGUGGUGCAUGGCCGUCGUCAGCUCGUGUCGUGAGAUGUUGGGUUAAGUCCCGCAACGAGCGCAACCCUUAUGUUUAGUUGCCAGCAUUCAGUUGGGCACUCUAGACAGACUGCCGGUGACAAACCGGAGGAAGGCGGGGACGACGUCAGGUCAUCAUGCCCCUUAUGACCUGGGCUACACACGUGCUACAAUGGCGUAUACAACGAGCAGCAAACCUGUGAAGGCAAGCGAAUCUCUUAAAGUACGUCUCAGUUCGGAUUGUAGUCUGCAACUCGACUACAUGAAGUCGGAAUCGCUAGUAAUCGCGGAUCAGCAUGCCGCGGUGAAUACGUUCCCGGGUCUUGUACACACCGCCCGUCACACCAUGGGAGUUG
rnacentral:rRNA from 1 species